rnacentral:rRNA from 1 species
GGGCGAAACUUUACAAUGCUGGCAACAGCGAUAAGGGAACCUCGAGUGCCAGGUUACAAAUCUGGCUGUCGAGAUGCCUAAAAAGCAUUUCAUAGCAAGGGCCGGGCAAGACCGGUGCCAGCCGCCGCGGUAACACCGGCGGCUCGAGUGGUAACCGUUAUUAUUGGGUCUAAAGGGUCUGUAGCCGGCCGGAUAAGUCUCUUGAGAAAUCUGGCAGCUUAACUGUCAGGCUUUCAGGAGAUACUGUCUGGCUCGAGGCCGGGAGAGGUGAGAGGUACUUCAGGGGUAGGGUGAAAUCUUGUAAUCCUUGAAGGACCACCAGUGGCGAAGGCGUCUCACCAGAACGGACCUGACGGCAAGGGACGAAAGCUAGGGGCACGAACCGGAUUAGAAACCCCGGUA